GACGGUCCGCCUACCGGUGGUUACUGUUCGUCGCCGAGCGUUCAGGCGGUUAUUCUUGAUGAUCUUCACCGGUUGUCUCGGGUGACCGCCAAGUUUACUUUGAAAAAAUUAGAGUGCUCAAAGCAGGCGCGACGCCUGAAUAAUUGUGCAUGGAAUAAUGGAAUAGGACCUCGGUUCUAUUUUGUUGGUUUUCGGAACACGAGGUAAUGAUUAAGAGGGACAGACGGGGGCAUUCGUAUUGCGACGCUAGAGGUGAAAUUCUUGGACCGUCGCAAGACGAACUACUGCGAAAGCAUUUGCCAAGAAUGUUUCCAUUAAUCAAGAACGAAAGUUAGAGGUUCGAAGGCGAUCAGAUACCGCCCUAGUUCUAACCAUAAACGAUGCCAGCCAGCAAUCCGCCUGUGUUCCUCAAAUGACACGGCGGGCGGCUUCCGGGAAACCAAAGCUUUUGGGUUCCGGGGGAAGUAUGGUUGCAAAGCUGAAACUUAAAGGAAUUGACGGAAGGGCACCACCAGAAAUGGAGCCUGCGGCUUAAUUUGACUCAACACGGGUAAACUUACCCGGUCCGGACACAGGAAGGAUUGACAGAUUAAGAGCUCUUUCUUGAUUCUGUGGGUGGUGGUGCAUGGCCGUUCUUAGUUGGUGGGGCGACUUGUCUGGUUAAUUCCGAUAACGAACGAGACUCUAGCCUACUAAAUAGACGUUCCGAUCCUCUUUCGUCGGACGUUCUUCUUAGAGGGACAAGCGGCGUUUAGCCGCACGAGACAGAGCAAUAACAGGUCUGGGAUGCCCUUAGAUGUCCGGGGCCGCACGCGCGCUACAUUGAAGGAAUCAGCGUGUGCUUUCCCUGUCCGAAAGGACUGGGUAACCCGUUGAACCUCCUUCGUGCUGGGGAUUGGCGAUUGUAAUUGUCCGCCAUGAACGAGGAAUUCCCAGUAAGCACGAGUCAUCAGCUCGUGUUGAUUACGUCCCUGCCCUUUGUCCACACCGCCCGUCGCUACUACCGAUUGAAUGAUUUAGUGAGGUCUUCGGACUGGCG
rnacentral:rRNA from 1 species